UAGGCAGAGCUGAGCUUCGGCUGGGCAGGACAGCUGGCCAGUCAAAACAAAAGCACAACACCCAGAUGUCUCCAAGACUGAAAGCAACACUGAGAACAAGAAUUCCACCUUGAAUGAUGAAAGUGUCUUCAGAACUGUCAUCAAAUAAUUACUCAUCCACCCAGCUGUGGAAGACUGGGCACUGCCAUUUGCCAAGUGCAGGAAAAGCUCUGAGAAACAGGAUAACUGAGGGCAACCCCUGACACGAUAAAGUCUGGCAGAGAAGAGAGAAAAGAAAAAUGCCAGCCAAAUACAUAAACUAAGUACAUUUCACCGUGAUGUGCUUCUGCAUGGAGUAAACAGUAAAAUGCAACAAUUACACCAGACCCAGCCUCUCCUUUUUUGGAGGGAGGCGAUGGUUUUGAAAUAGUAAUCAAUCUUUAAAACUGGUAUACAGAGCAUGUGCUAAUGUGUGACAUGUAUGGCUGACGAAGAGACUGAAACAGAUUUUCCUUUGCCUUCUUCUCUGUAACACUGAAUAUGAUGUACAUAAGAUAAUCCUAUAGAAAAUGCACAGCAAAAAAAUGUUUUGCUAAAAAAAAAAUAAAUAAAUAAAUAAAAAUAAAAAAGCUU
rnacentral:lncRNA from 10 species